AAUUUUGCUCUCUACAAUGAUGGGGUGAGAGCUUCGUCAAACUGCCUAAAAGCAGCUUUUUCUCUCCCUUCUCAUGUUCUGUAUUGCACAUGAAAUAAACUUC
rnacentral:lncRNA from 1 species